rnacentral:lncRNA from 1 species
UCCACGGAAACCCACCACUACAGUGACUAAUCAAUAUCCCACCAAAUCAAUAAAAGUUUCGACAGCAUGACAUGGCAAUUAUAUUACCACCCAACCUGUUAAGGCAAAACAAACAGUUCAUGCAAUUUCAACACAAUUUCCAAUUCAGCCAUUCAUGCCAAUAUCACCAUAAGCCAUUCAAUUCAAACCAUAAAUUUACAACACAAUCAAACAGUCUCCAAUUACUCAAUUUCUAAAAUCAUCAUUCAAAUUCAAAAUGUUUUAUAAAACUCAUUUCAUUUAAUCACAUUUUACUUAUAAAACAUAAGGAUUUACCAUUUAAACUCAUUUUUCUAUAAAAUCACAAAAACGAAUAAAAACUACUUUAGAUAAUUAAGACGAUAAUAAGGUUACUCACAAUAUCGGGAGUCGAAGUACUCCUAGUCCCGGUCUUCGGGUACAAUCUCCUUACCCUUAUCGAAAGUUUCACCACCUAAACAUAAUGCACAACAAGCAAUUUACUAUAUUUGUACUAAACCGUUAUAAAACUAAUUUAGGCUCUAUAUGAAUGCAUGAAAUGGGAUGCGAAAUGUUCGGAUUAUUAUCUAAAUAUGGUGUUCUACGUAGCUUCAAUUAUGUAUCGAAAUAAAAUGGUAUUGGCCUAAUUCGAUCUAUACACCGGUUAAUUGGCCAAUACAUCCAAUUCAACUUCAAUUAACUUGAUUCCACUUCCAACACUCCAAGUCAUCAAUUACAAGUUAAAUAAUAUGUAAUAUCACAAAAAUCCAUCAUCAAUAUCUUCCUUGUAAAAUUCGGCCAUUGAAGGUUUAGUGUAGAACAUGUAAUUUUCAUGCUUGAUUUUUACGCCUUACAUCAUAAAACAACUAAAAACACCUAAAUAGCAUGAAAUUCAUCAAAGUCCAUUAUCCAAUUUCUCUCUUGAAAAUUUCAGCCAAGGAGUGUGGGUGAAGGGCAUGAAAUUUCUUGCUUGUUUUUCAUGCUAAACAUCACCAAACAACUAAAAACACUAAGAUACCUUGAAAUCUAACCAAAUAAAUCAUCAAAUCUUCUCUCCCUAAAUUCGGUCAGCCAUGAAUCCUUCAUGAGAUCUUGAAUUUUAACCAUGGUAAUUGAAAAAGAAUGCAUAGGAAAGGUAGAUCACAAGCUAGAAUUAAGAAAUUUUACCUUUACUUGCUUAAUUCCUUGAAAUCCAAUGAAUUUUCUCUUGAUUUUCUUCUCUAGGGUUUGUUCUAUGCUUUUUCCCUUUUGUUCUUGCCUUGGCCGGCC